AUUGAACGCUGGCGGCAUGCUUUACACAUGCAAGUCGAACGGUAACAGGUUAAGCUGACGAGUGGCGAACGGGUGAGUAACGCAUCGGAACGUGCCCGAUCGUGGGGGAUAACGCGGCGAAAGCUGCGCUAAUACCGCAUAAGAUCCGAGGAUGAAAGCGGGGGACUUUAUAGCAAUAUGAGGCCUUGCGCGAUCGGAGCGGCCGAUGUCAGAUUAGGUAGUUGGCGGGGUAAAGGCCCACCAAGCCGACGAUCUGUAGCUGGUCUGAGAGGACGACCAGCCACACUGGGACUGAGACACGGCCCAGACUCCUACGGGAGGCAGCAGUGGGGAAUUUUGGACAAUGGGCGCAAGCCUGAUCCAGCAAUGCCGCGUGCAGGAAGAAGGCCUUCGGGUUGUAAACUGCUUUUGUACGGAGCGAAAAGGUCUUCUCUAAUAAAGAAGGCUGAUGACGGUACCGUAAGAAUAAGCACCGGCUAACUACGUGCCAGCCGCCGCCGUAACAC
rnacentral:rRNA from 1 species